GAAACUAACAAGGAUUCCCCUAGUAACUGCGAGUGAAGCGGGACAAGCUCAAAUUUAAAAUCUGGCGGUCUCCUGGCCGUCCGAGUUGUAAUCUGGAGGAGCGUUUUCCGUGUUGGACCGUGUACAAGUCUUCUGGAACGGAGCGUCAUAGAGGGUGAGAAUCCCGUCUCUGACACGGACUACCAAUGCUUUUGUGAUACGCUCUCGAAGAGUCGAGUUGUUUGGGAAUGCAGCUCAAAAUGGGUGGUAAAUUCCAUCUAAAGCUAAAUAUUGGCGAGAGACCGAUAGCGAACAAGUACCGUGAGGGAAAGAUGAAAAGCACUUUGGAAAGAGAGUUAAACAGUACGUGAAAUUGUUGAAAGGGAAACGUUUGAAGUCAGUCGCGUUGGCCGAGACUCAACCUUGCUAUCCUGCUCGGUGUACUUCUCGGUCGACGGGUCAGCAUCAAUUUUGACCGCUGGAUAAAGGCCUGGGGAAUGUGGCAUCUCUCGGGAUGUGUUAUAGCCCUGGGUUCGCAUACGGCGAUUGGGAUUGAGGAACUCAGUGCGCCUUUAUGGUCGGGGUAUCAACCCACGUAACGCACUUAGGAUGCUGGCUUAAUGGCUUUAAGC
rnacentral:rRNA from 1 species